GGUUUUGAUCUGAAACAUCGAGAUGUGGGGUCACAACCAAGGAAACCAGCAUCCCUCUGGCUACAACGUGAACCCAAGCGGGUGCGAACCGCCAAUGCCAGGUGGGGGACAACCUGGCGGGUGCACCAUUGGUGCCAUCCUGACCCCAUUAUGCCCUCCCUACCAGCCCCCCUCCACUUGCUACCCUGUGCCACCAUCUUAUCCAGUACAGGGUCCCCAUGGAGGUCAUGGGCAUGGGCACGAUCAUGGUCACGGUCACGGGCAUCGUGGAGGUCACGGUCAUGGAGGGCACGGUCAUGGAGGACACGGAGGGCACGGUCGCGGAGGGCAUGGUCAUGGGCAUGGUCAUGGUCAUGGGCACGGUCAUGGGCAUGGUCAUGGGCACGGUCAUGGAUGCAGGCACAGGCACAAGCAUGGGCAUUGGCAUGGGGGUUGUCACAAGAAAGGGAAGCAGAGUCAUGGGAGUUCAAGCAGCUCCUGCAGCAGUGACUCCGACUAG
rnacentral:lncRNA from 13 species